CCGGAAGUUGCUAGCUAAGUUGUCAAUGACAGCUCAAUAGAGGAAUUAGUGGAUUUUAGCUUCUGAGGUCCUGAGAACUGCCAUGGUCCAGUUCUCCCUGAGGAAUGUUUGGUUGUUCAACUUUCUUGGGUUUCAUGAGCUACCUGAGUAUCAUUCCAGCAAUUUCACUUUUACUUAAAUUUUACCCUACUGGUUUCUGUUAUUUGCAAAAGAAGGAAAGCAUUUUAGAGGAAGAAUGGUGGGGUCGCUGAGGAAGUGGUGAGGUGUAGGAAGGAAAGCUGAAUGGAGAGCUGGGGUGAAGGCUCUGAAAACAAUCACCUUUCUACAGAGUCUGUAUGGACCAGAGGCUGCCAACUGUCGACUGGAGCUCAGCAGAGGGCUGCCAGGGGCCACACUGAUAAGGUGCUUGGUCCUUCCAAGGAAGCUAAGGCCGAACUGGGGUGAGGCUCACUUCGUCCAGCGACUAGCACCGCUCUCCUUCCACAGCGGCAGGGCUCACUCAGCCCACACCACUCCCCCCAUCACGGAGUUGCCUGCGUCUACUUGGCCCUUAUCCUGCACGACCAUGAAGUGCUGGUGAUGGAGAAUAAGAUCAAUGCCCUCAUUAAAGCAGUUGGUGUAAAUGCUGAACCUUUCUGUCCAGGCUUGUUUGCAAAAGGUCUGGCCAAUGUCAACAUGGGGAGUCCCAUCUGCAAUGUAAGGCUGGUGGACCUGCCCCAGCAGCCAGUGCUGCACCAGCAGAAAGUCCUGCCCGCUCCACCACUGUGCCCCAGCUGAGGAGAAGAAAGUGGAAGCAAAGAAAGAGGAGUCUGAUGCUGCAUGGGCUUUGUUCUUUUUGACUAAACCUCUUUUGUAACACAUUCAAUAAAAAGCUGAACUCUGUUAAAAAAAUA